GGCGGACGGGUGAGUAACACGUGGGCAACCUGCCUGUAAGACUGGGAUAACUUCGGGAAACCGGAGCUAAUACCGGAUAAUUCUUUCUCUCUCAUGAGGGAAAGCUGAAAGAUGGUUUCGGCUAUCACUUACAGAUGGGCCCGCGGCGCAUUAGCUAGUUGGUGAGGUAACGGCUCACCAAGGCAACGAUGCGUAGCCGACCUGAGAGGGUGAUCGGCCACACUGGGACUGAGACACGGCCCAGACUCCUACGGGAGGCAGCAGUAGGGAAUCUUCCGCAAUGGACGAAAGUCUGACGGAGCAACGCCGCGUGAGUGAUGAAGGUUUUCGGAUCGUAAAACUCUGUUGUUAGGGAAGAACAAGUACCGGAGUAACUGCCGGUACCUUGACGGUACCUAACCAGAAAGCCACGGCUAACUACGUGCCAGCAGCCGCGGUAAUACGUAGGUGGCAAGCGUUGUCCGGAAUUAUUGGGCGUAAAGCGCGCGCAGGCGGUUCCUUAAGUCUGAUGUGAAAGCCCACGGCUCAACCGUGGAGGGUCAUUGGAAACUGGGGAACUUGAGUGCAGAAGAGGAGAGUGGAAUUCCACGUGUAGCGGUGAAAUGCGUAGAGAUGUGGAGGAACACCAGUGGCGAAGGCGACUCUCUGGUCUGUAACUGACGCUGAGGCGCGAAAGCGUGGGGAGCGAACAGGAUUAGAUACCCUGGUAGUCCACGCCGUAAACGAUGAGUGCUAAGUGUUAGAGGGUU
rnacentral:rRNA from 2 species